CGUGUAGGUGGCUUGAAAAGUUGGGUGUGAAAUCCCGGGGCCUAACCCCGGAACUGCACUCAAAACUGUCUCGCUAGAGUCCCGGAGAGGAAGGCGGAAUUCCCGGUGUAGAGGUGAAAUUCGUAGAUAUCGGGAGGAACACCAGUGGCGAAGGCGGCCUUCUGGACGGUGACUGACACUGAGACGCGAAAGCGUGGGGAGCAAACA
rnacentral:rRNA from 1 species